UACAGAGGUGGCAAGCGUUGUUCGGAAUUACUGGGCGUAAAGGGCGCGUAGGCGGCCUUCUAAGUCAGACGUGAAAUCCCCCGGCUUAACCUGGGAACUGCGUCUGAUACUGGGAGGCUUGAGGUUGGGAGAGGGAUGCGGAAUUCCAGGUGUAGCGGUGAAAUGCGUAGAUAUCUGGAGGAACACCGGUGGCGAAGGCGGCAUCCUGGACCAAUUCUGACGCUGAGUGAGCGAAAGCCAGGGGAGCAAACGGG
rnacentral:rRNA from 1 species